GUACUCACUUCGGCAGCACAUAUACUAAAAUUGGAGCGAUAUGAAGAAGAUUAGCAUGGCCCCUGUGCAAGGAUGACACGCAAAUCCAAGUCUUAGAAUUAGACACU
ensembl:snRNA U6 U6 spliceosomal RNA